GAAAUGCGAUAAGUAAUGUGAAUUGCAAAAUUCAGUGAAUCAUCGAAUCUUUGAACGCACAUUGCGCCCCCUGGUAUUCCGGGGGGCAUGCCUGUUCGAGCGUCAUUUCACCACUCAAGCCUCGCUUGGUAUUGGGCGACGCGGUCCGCCGCGCGCCUCAAAUCGACCGGCUGGGUCUUUCGUCCCCUCAGCGUUGUGGAAACUAUUCGCUAAAGGGUGCCGCGGGAGGCCACGCCGUAAAACAACCCCAUUUCUAAGGUUGACCUCGGAUCAGGUAGGGAUACCCGCUGAACUUAAGC
rnacentral:misc_RNA from 1 species